CAUCCUCCAGCAGGCUAGCCUAGGCUUGUGUUCAUGAUGGCUGGGCAGGUUUCUGAGAGAGAAAAGUGCUCUUUAGGCCUAUCAGAAGGCAUAUCACUUCUCCAAAAUGGCAUAUCACUUCUGCCACAUUCUGUUGGCCAAAGCAAGUGACAAGGCUGGCCCAGAUUCAAGGGGAGUGGAAACAGACUCCAGCUCUUCCAGAAGGAUGUAAAGCCACUUUGCAAGGGUAUGAAUAAAGGGUGGGAUGAACCGCCAGGGCAAUCUACCACACUCAUCCACAGAACGCCCCAUACCUCCCCGUCCUGGAACUAGCCAGCAAUCCCAGGUGGCACAGCUAUGCGGCUUGGAACCAAGUUGGGUGAGGGAUGGAGCCCUAAACUGCUUUGUAAGAACAGGAAAGGAGGAAUGAACAGGAAUGAAAUGAGGAUGCUGGAGCCCAGAGAGCAGAGGGAGCAGGGAGAGUCAUUGCCUAAUGGAACUCAGGAAGACUGUUGUUAUGAGGUCACAGAGAAAUAGUGUAUCAAAGAGGCAAAAACGGAAACUGCAGAUUUUCUAGAAAACAGCACGUCAGCACCUAUGGAAGACAGCCAAAGCAGUGGUCAGAAGAAAAUUCAUAACUUAAACACUAGUACCAUUUUUUUUAAAAAGAUUGAAAACAAAAGAAUUAAGCAUCCUCAAGAGUUAUUAUAGGGGCCGGCCCCAUGGCUGAGUGGUUAAGUUCGCAUGCUGUGCUUCAGCGGCCCAGACUUUCACCAGUUCAGA
rnacentral:lncRNA from 1 species